GGGCAGCCCCGGCAGGCCUUGCUUCCUGGCCGCUGGGGAGGGCCCCCGCGGCGCGACCACCUCCCCUGAGCCCCUCGAGCGCCGGGGCCGGCCCCUGGGUAGGGGGUGGAGGGGGAUGUCAGACAAGGAUUCACAAUAGAAUGAAUGAAGAACUUGACUCACUCCUUGCGCCCAGCGGAGGGGACAGCACCUUAGUUCAGCCACCCUUUGCUUCCAGAGCGUCUUCAUCUCGGCAUGAGAGUGGCCGUGGGAGUCCAGGCAUGCCCUGGUUGUCUGAAAGGUGUCUGCAUAGACACCCAUGCCUGUGUGUCUCAGAGGGACAGGGUUCUUCCUGACAACACCAGGAAAUGUAAACGCCAGUACCUGCAGGGACAGGUCCCCCUCCUCCAAGCGUGCUGCUGUUGGGUACCUCCCUCGUUAAGCUCAGAAUGAACACGCUGGGGAGUUCAACGCAACAACUCAAGAGGCCCACCUGCAAAAGCUGUGCUACCCCAGGAAAUCAGCUGUCUGCUCCAAGGGAUGCAAAUCACUUCCCCGCUUAGCAAGGGACGUUCGUCUAGCAUUUUGUAGAUACUCCGUCGUGGUUUCCUGGCCUCUCAUUAACAGUAAUCAGUGACAGCUAACACUGAGUAUUCAUGUUCUUGGUGGGCCCCCAGUUCAGGAAAAGAAACGGCUUAUUCCCAUUCCUCCUAACCUACUGUCUUAGCUCAGGCUGCCUCAACAAAAUGCAGAGUGACUGGCUUAUGCAAUAGAAGUCCAUUUCUUCACACUGCAUGCAUGCAUUCAGUCACUUCAGUCGUAUCUGACUCUUUGGGACCCCAUGGACUGUAGCUGCCCUCCCCUCCCCGCCCCAGAUUCCUCUGUUCAUGGGAUUCUCCAGGCAAGAAUCCUGGAGUGGGUUGCCAUGCCCUUCUCCAGGGUUUCCUCACCUAGAGGCUAAAAGUCCCAGAUCCAGGUUCUGGCCAAUUUAGUUUCUGACGCGGGCUCUUCCCGCUUGCAGACAGCCACCCUCCUGCUGUGUCCUCACAUGACCCUUCCCUGGUGCAGGGUCUCUCCUGUCCCUUCUCACAGGACACAGUCCUGUCAGACCAGGGCCCGCCCUCAUGACUUGUGUUGUUGCUCAGUCAUGUCUGACUGUUUG